GAAUUAUUUCUUUAUUUUUAUUAUUGUUUUUGAAAUAAUAAAUUAUCCUUCAAAAAUGCUGCAUUUUAUUUUAAAUAGAGCAUUGUUUUGGUGAUAAGAACUAUAUGAUCUUGGGAAAAAAUUUGUGUUCACAUUCCAGUAAUGAACUAUGAGACUUUACUUGUGGUUAAUAUAAAACCCAAGAUGAACUUUGGUUUAUCAAUUUGUUUUGGAUGUUUAUUUUGAUUGCAGCUCACAUUUGAAAUCCAAUUGUAAGCAUCAUUUCUAAUCAAAGCACUUUUAGUAGGUGUGACCAAUGAAUGUUAACAAGACUGAAUCCAUGUAUUAUUUGGUGAAAUAUUAUUUUGCUCAAGAAUUAACACUGUAAUUCUGUUUCACAGUUUAUCCAUGUAAUUUGAGUUUUUACAUAUCCUGCGGUUCCUUUUAUCUGAGAGUAGGUUUUGAGUUUAUUAGCUGGUUUCACUUAGUGUUGUUUAUGGGCCUAUUACUAUAGCUUCUAAGUGCUUCUCAGAACAUGUUCCUUUUAUGUCUAUCAAACUACAUUUCCACAUAAAUGGAAACUCUUUCGUUGCUGGAAUUCUUUGCCUCUUUAUUGUCAGCCUGCUUGUUAACCAAAUGAGGAACACUAUUUUCCUGAGUUUUAUUCUACCCAAUGGUAGGCAAUUUCUCUGGAUUUUUUUUUACAAUGAAAAAAUAAUAACUGUAUUCACACUUACAAAUGUAUUUGCAUCCUUUUGUCCAAUUUUCACAUUUCUUUGGAAGUGACAACUGUUCUUACUAAGCAUAAUUUCUUCAAAUCCCACUGUUUUGGCCUCUUCAUGAACGUUGCUUUAUUGAUUAUCCUGAGUCCUGAGUCCUCUCCCUAAAAAAACAAACAUCUCAAUUUCUUUCCCAUCCUAACUUCUAGAAUAUUAUUCCUGAAACCCCUUAACCCUUCUCAGUUUCUUUUGCAAACAUUUCUUCCACCCACCCCUUAACUGUUUUACUUUCUGAUAUUUUACCUCUAUACACCCCCCGCCCCCACCGCUGACAUCUGAACCCAGGCCUCAGCUGUAUGUUGAUGAUCCUCAAACCUUAUUUCCAUCCUGUUCUGUCACCUAAAAUCCAUAUAUUUAGACGACCACUGGUCAUCACAUAGAUAUUCCACAAACUACUCAAAAUUAGUAUGUCCUAAAAUGAACAAACUUAUUCAUCCUCCUGCUAUUUUUUUUUAUAUCAGUGAAUGAAGACAACUUGUAUGUAGCUAGUCAAUCCUAACAGUCGUUCUCAAUUCUUCCCUCUCCCAAGUCUCCAGUAUAGACUGGGGUGCCCAAUAGAAAGCAGCAACAAACACUCAAGUUCUUGCAAGAUCUUAGCAGCUGCAAGACCAGGGGAGGUUGACUUGGUCUCUGAACUACCCUGGGCUCCAUAAAAACACUAGGGAAGAAUUUUCAAGGAUCCAUGCCCUGAAGCAGACACUAGAGUCACUAAAAUAGCAAAAUUUACACCCAUUACUAUAACUGUGACCUAAUUUUCCCUAUCCCCAAGCUCCUAGGAGGUGAGAACUGAGAAAAUAUAGGUUGCACUCCUUGAUUAGAGGGAGGGAACAGCAGCUUCCAGAGCAGAGGUACUUAUAAUCAUGGUCUUAGUCCAUUUUGACUGUUACAACCUAACACUUCAGACAGCUUGGCUUAUAGACAACGUAAGUGUUUUUCUAAUAGUUCCUAGAAGCUGAGAAUGUGAAGGUCAAGGUGCCAGCAGAUUCAGUGUUAGGUGAGGACACACUUUACGGCUUUGUGGUUCAUAGCAGGUACCUUCUUGCUGCAGUCUCACGUGGGGAAGAGGAAAGUACACCUUGGACACUCAGGACUUAAUCAUCCACAAAGGCUCCACCUCCUAUUGUCAUCUCCUAGUAUCACCUUGAGGGCUAGUAUUUUAAUAUAUAAAUUUGGGGGUUUGGGGCAGGCCCAAGAGAGCUAUAUUUAGGUUCUCUAACCAAGACUUCCUGCCAAGUAUAUUUUAAUAUGUAGUCAAGGUCAUAAACACCCUGUUUCAGUAUAUUACUCGAGGUCAUAUAUAUCUGCUUGUGAGAUAUAUAUGUAACCGUUGGCACUGGGCCUUCUUUCUUGCACAUAGAAAAGCCUAUGGAAAGACUCAGAGGGCUGUUGCCACCUUCAAAUAAAGCAGGCCUACUAUCCCAACGGCACCUCACAUCUUCUUUCACCUGCUGGUAUCCUGAAUCUGUUUCCCAGGGUCUGAGCCCCUCAAGGAUGGAGGGUGGGAGAUACAAACAUUCAGACCAUAUCGAUGCCAGACACAGGAACUUUGACUUGAUUACAAUAUCAACAAAGCCAAGUCAGGUGAGAAACAUAGAGGGGUGGCUUUCGUUAGGGCUUCCAUUUGAGGAGGGAGACAACACUGACAGGAGCUCCUCAGUCUGGCUACUUGAACAAAGGGAGAGAGAUUUAUUUAUGUGAAAGGGGUGUUUGCAAGGGGCUGAGGUCAGCCGGUCAGCCUGGGGAGGAAUGUUAGUUUUCCUUAUAGAUACUGCAUCCUGUAAAAAUACUUCUGCCUGUGAUAAGGGUAGAUUGCCAUAGCUGUUAGGAGAACAUGUAGGUGGGAAAUGGAAAAGAACAAAAUCAUAGCAAGUAGCAAGUUAAUGGCCCUGGGAAUUUCCCAUUUUGAUGGCUCCUCAACAGUUUUUAUUCUUGGUGUUGUUUGUCCUGGCAAAAGCUUCCUGGCCCUAGUGAUGUACUUGGUCUCUGAAGCUGGUAAGGCUGUUCCAAGAGGAUGUUUUAUGCACAUACCAAGCUUUUAGUAGCUAAUAAUCUAUGAAUGAGGGUGGAAGAACAGAGAAAAGAAAAAAAAAGAACUUAUACUAUCUUUUAAUAGCCAUCAGUCCAUGAGUUAAAUAAAGCCCAGGAGUGUCCUUGACCUGUAUCCCUUUGGUGGUCUCUGUGUCAAUAGCAAUCACCUGUUUCCUGAUUUUAAUUAUACUUGCUCUUUGACCUCAUUCAGUCCUUCUAUUCAUUUAAUCCCUUAUUACCCCUUAGUCUAAUGACUUAACCACCUCUCACAGCCCACCUAUCCUAGGUUGAUCACUGGAACAACAUCCAGUGGUAUGGAUCAGCAGACUUUUACAAAAAGCCACUUACUGAAACCUAAUCCUGGAUGAGAUCCAUAAUCUACCUCCCACUUCUAGCUUUUUCACCACUUUACUUCAUACGUCCAAGCUCUUGCCAAUAAAAUGUAGCAUAUUCUUCCAGCUUUUGUCUCCAACUGACCCUUCCAACCCAGCAUUCCCCUGCCUCUAUUUUUUGCUCAUGACAUGUUUUCCCAAUUUAAUACCUUUUCUCCAAGUAAAUCUGAAGAUUAAUCACUUGAUUAGUUUUAAGAUGAUCUGCUUAUAUCUUUGUUGCAGUAUUUAGAAGAUGAGAAAGACACUUUCUCCCUUGGAAUAUAAGUGGAAUGUGGGAGUCGCUAUUCAUCAGCUGUCACUCCAACCAUGAGUGAAAGCCAGAUUGCUAUAAACCUCACAGUAGGAAAGAAAAUGGAAUGGGGGAGGUUUAGUAUGACAAGAAGUUGCUCAUCAUGGAAAGUGAAUAUUUUCAUCUUUCAGUUUAACUUUCUUUUCUGUGUAUGGAGAUUAAAUCCAGGGCCUCAUGCAUGCUAGACACAUGUUCUACUACUGAGCUACAUGCUCAGCCAUUAACUUUUUUGUACUAGCACUUAAGCAUCUUGAUAGAGGGGAUAAAAACUAGAAUGUUGUUAGUAGAAGACAGGCAUUCAAAUGUUUUAUGAGUGAAAGUUAUAACAAUGGGUUAUAACUUAUAAAAUUGUCUCUCCCAAUACAAUGUAUAUGUAUAUGUGUGCAUGUAUACACAUAUGUGCAUGUAUGUAUAUUUGAUUUAAAAUUUCAAUUAAAUUAUAUAUAAUAAUUUAAAUUAUAUAUAAUGUACUGGUUUGUACAUUAACUGUAAAGUAGAAAUUUGACACUUGACAUUGGAUCAAGUAUGAAAAAGUUGGCUUUAUGUACUAUUGUAGCUCAGCUCUGGGUAUGGCCAUCUUGCUUCAAAGAAAAUGUCACUAUCAGUGGCUAAAGGGAAAAUAUCAAACUAAAAGAAUAACAGUAAAUCCAAUCCAUUAAGACAUUUAUUUAAUAUUUUGUUUGGGUGAAAGAAGAAUCUUAACCUUACUCCAUUUUUACUUUAAAACUUUUAAUAGCAUAAUUCAAAUUUAUAUUCUAAAUACUGAAAGUACAUAACAUAGGUCAGCAUUAAUUUUUAAAAUGUCAAUUUGACUUAGUAGGGAAAAAAAAGCAACUGAUGUGCUUCAGUAAUAACUUCCACUUGUUUUAUCUUGUUACAUUAAAGCUUGCAAUUCUAUUUAAUUGGCAUGUAAUUUAAUUGCCACAUAAGUUAUUUAAUUAUAUACUAUAAAUGGAAAAUGUUGUUUAUAGGCAAUGUAUCUCUUUUGUUAAAAUUUGGGAUACUACAUCUUCCUCUAGCUUGUGUUCUUAUGUAUUCUUUCAUGUUGAUUAUUUGCAUUGUAUGUUGAGUUAUACCACGUUAACUGAUUUUAUCAUUGUUUACAAUUGUGUAUGUUUAUGUGUGCAUUUGUAAAUAUUGUGAUAUUUUAAAAAUGAAUUGGGAAAGCCAAACUUUAAUCUGCUUUAUUAGUAAAAGCACAAAAGACCUGAGUUUCUCUCUUUGUGGAAAUGAUAAUAUCCCAAUAAUUCACACAGGCUGCUUCUUCAGGAUAGCAGGCCUUCCCUCCAUCCUUUGCCUAUUCCAGAUAUUCCUUUUGAAGCUUUACCUUAAGUGUUAAUUUCUCUGAGAAAGCUUUUCUGACCUCACUAAUGGUCAGGUAGCUUUUGUCUAUGUUCCUUUAACCAUGACAAUCCGGAGUCUGGCAAAGCCAGGGGAGAGUCCGUGUGGGGUGAUGUUGGGCCCCAGCACAGUAGCCUUAGGAAGACUUAGGCUUCUGGGUUGUAAAGAGAGAAUAAUGGAUACUUAAUUGUGUUGCUGUGAAAAAUACAUUCGAUAAGACUAUGACUUUGCACAAUGCUCGGC
rnacentral:lncRNA from 1 species